rnacentral:misc_RNA from 1 species
AACGUCCGUCAGGGUGAGCAGAUGUGCGCCGGCCGUCCGCCCCAUUCUUGUCUACCUUACUCGGUUGCCUCGGCGGGCCGCGCUCUCUCAGGAGAGCCGUUCGGCGAGCCUCUCUUUAGUGGCUCAACGCUGGACCGCGCCCGCCGGAGGACAGACGCAAAAAAAUUCUUUCAGAAGAGCUGUCAGUCUGAGCGUUAGCAAGCAAAAAUCAGUUAAAACUUUCAACAACGGACUCUUGGUUCCGGCACGAUGAAGAACGCAGCGAAAUGCGAUAAGUAAUGUGAAUUGCAGAAUUCCGUGAAUCAUCGAAUCUUUGAACGCACAUUGCGCCCCCUGGCAUUCCGGGGGGCAUGCCUGUUCGAGCGUCAUUUCAGCCCCUCAAGCCCGGCUUGUGUGAUGGACGACCGUCCGGCGCCCCCGUCUUUGGGGGUGCGGGACGCGCCCGAAAAGCAGUGGCCAGGCCGCGAUCCGGCUUCCUAGCGAAUGGGCAACAAACCAGCGCCUCCAGACGGCCGCCCGGCCUCAAA